UGGACAACAAUCUAGUUCAUGAGUACAAGAGGAUAUUGGAAUGAAAAAAUUGGGAAAAGGUAACUAGUAUAAGAAAGGUGUGAAGUGAUGAAUUAGAUAUGGUGCGUCCGAGUGGACUCGAACCACCGACCCCCACCA
rnacentral:antisense_RNA from 1 species